UUCCACAGUGUAGUGUCCUUGGGAUGGAGACUGGCUUGAUGCUUUUUGUGUGUUGUCUGAAGCAAUGAUUUGGGUUACAACAAGGCCUGGCUGAGGCGGGGGAUUGUGUGUGCCCAUGGAGCAGAGGGGUGCAGUCGGCUGGUCCCAAGGCAUGUUGUGGCAGUGUCUGUGCAUUGCCCGUUCCCUGGGUACGGGAAGGACAUGGGAGGAAGAAUGCAGAGAGCAGGGCCUGACCCUUCCAAAGGUGCUUGUGCUSCCAAAGGCAGGUCCCUUGCUAAUCUCCUUUUCCUUCUGCUUUUCUUUAUAGACAAACAGUCCAGAGGUCUGGAGACCAAGACCAUGGAGCUGAGUGAGUCUCUUCUUCCUGGUUCCACUUGUAAAACCCCUGCAAAAAUCUGGUCCCUCCUGAAUAGAGGUAGCUUUUCCUGAUGGCUGUCCCAAGUUCAGGGCUUUCCAAGCAAGGUCUCAGUCUUCCAGACCGAGCCCUCAAAUCUCUGUCCUGAGCGAGGAUGAACUGAGGAGUGUCUGGGAAGCCCUUGAGCUGGUUUUCGUGGCUGCUGCUGAGGGUCUGGGAGGAGGCACGGUGGUACGGAGCCCUUGCAGGAGCACGCGCUCUUUUCACAUUAGCCAGCCCUCAAAACAGAAGGGGUUUUAGUGCACAGGACCCACACCCGAGCUCUCUCCCCUCCUGAGGGAGCAGCCAUGGCAGGAGAAGACCCUGCUCUGAUCACAUGUUGCUUUUGGUGUUUUUCCAGGAGAACAAGCUGCAGAACUGGGUGAGUCUCCCCACGCCGCGAGCUCUGGUCACYGAGCUGAGCCUUUGCCCAGGCUCCGGGUGCUCAGCCCUUUCCCUCUUUGCCCGUCCUCUGCAGCAGUGCAGUGGCUGGGCCCUGGGGAAACCCCAGUGUGAUGUGCAGGGAACUGUGGCCACCCCUGGGUGACGAGAACAGGGCUGGACCCUCUUGCCUGCCCAUGUCCACAGUGUGUCCCUGCCUGGGGACAGGCUGUGUGUUGUAACCGGCUCUCAUCUUUCCUUGCAGUGUGGAGAAGACUCGUUUUGCCUGUAGACAAAGGUAAAGCCAUUUUCUUGUUUAAUCUUUGUCACGCUAUGAAGGUUUAAUAGUAACAACUGAGA
rnacentral:lncRNA from 1 species